UGGGCAGGCACGGGAGAGUGCGGGGAGACCCGCCGCCGAAGGAGCAACCGCCCCGGAAUCUCUCAGGCAAAGUGGACCGUGCCGGCCGA
rnacentral:ncRNA from 1 species